rnacentral:tRNA from 1 species
GCGCCCAUAGCUCAACUGGAUAGAGUACCGGAUUUCGAAUCCGUUGGUUGUAGGUUCGACUCCUACUGGGCGCACCA